UUGGAGCUCCAAGCUCAUAUCACCACGGUAACUGACUGCUGCUCUUUGCCAACUGUCCUUGGCUGUAACUCAUGGCCUAUUUAGCCACGGAGCCAGCGGCCCUGGAGUUUCUCUGGAUCGGGACGUCAGUCGUAGAGGGAGUCACCACGGCCAACGAGGCUCAGCUCAACUGGAUUUGGCUGCCUGACAUGAGAGUGCACACGGCUGGACACUGAACUGGGACUGGGCAGCCUCCAAGACCAACUGAGGUUCUGUGGCAGUCAGACAAACUCGGAUUGGAAGCAUCACUGGAUUCCAGGUACCAUGUAACUGCCCGCGAGAUCACGUGGAUGGAGCUUUGGAAGUCAAAACCAGCUAAACUAAAGUUUCUCAUCCAGGCAAUGUACGAUGUUAUCCAAAGCCCACCCAACCUGCACUGCUGGGGUCAAGCAACACCCCUGCAUGCUCUCUGUGCCACAGAAGAGGUUCAUUGGAGCACAUCUUAAGCUGCCACGCCGAAAGCCCAGGGAGAGGGGAGGUACAGGUGGUGAAGGCAGUAGCUGACACCAUCUGCACUGGCAUUCAGCUGAGCGAACACCAUAUUGCUACAACCUGGCAUAGCUGUUAUAAGUUUGGAAAACUUAUGGCUGACUAUGGCUCAGGGGUAGAGCAAGGGGUUUUUUUUUUUUUCCAUCAGAAGGUCGCUGGUUAGAUUCCCCUGGUCUGCAUGUUGAAGUGUCCUUGGGCAACCCCAAACUGCUCCUGAUGUGCUGGUCAGCACUUUGCAUGGCAGCCACUACCAUUAGUGUAUGAAUGUAUGUAUGUAUUAAGUUGCUUUGGACAAAAGCCCUAGAAUCUGAAUGCAGAUACAACUUUGCUAUACAUUUUUAAAUGUCACACAUUUCAUUACGUCUUCCUCCAUCUCAUUGCCCUUCUUGAUUUAACUAAACGUGACUCUUAGUUCUUUAUCAUGCCCGCCUCCAGCGUUUCUGCGUUCGGGUCCUCACACCAGCCACCCCCCAGUGACGAAUUACCACCCUGCCCUUUCUACUCAUCUGCAGCCGAUCUCAUCAACAAGACCUCCCAGUGGACGUCUGUCCCAAUACAUUACAUCAGCUGACAUCUUCGACCAUGAUGCUAUGACACACACUCUCUAUACUGUGAACUCCAGCACAUCCCAUGAUGAAGAGGUUUGCACAAAACUGUACAGCUUUCACUGAAGAGGAGGAGGAAGAGAUAAGAGGAAGAAGAGAUGGAGGAAGAAGAAGAUGAGAGAAGAUGAGAGAAGGAGAGGAAGACGACGAGACAGGAGGACAAAUAGCAAGAGGAGAACUGAGCAAGAGGAUAAGAAUGGAGACAAAGAGAUCUCCUUUCAGAACUAAAAUGUCAGCGUUGCUGGUUUUCAUCGCGAUCGGAGAACAAAGUCACUCAGGACAGGCACGUCACAGAGCUCCGCGAAAGCCUGGAGGAAGGUGCAACUGUAUCGGGAGAAAGCUGUCCAAGUCAAGGUUACUCCGAUCACCUGAGAAGUUCUGGCUGUCAUCUCUACGUGACACAGCAGCAGGAAGGCGCGAUGGAAUGGAGAAGGUGAACAAACAAAAAUGCAAGGUCGCUGCUGGGUGAUUAAUGACUGCAACACAGUUUCUGAUACAGUCUUUAUAUGAAACGCGCUGCGGUAGAGGUAAUAAAGACGGCUGUUAACAUCUGCACAUGUUCACCAUUGACGUGAUACUGAUGGCAUUUUUCUCAUUUUCCAAUUUGCAGUUGCAUAACUACAAAUGACAAGUGUU